GAGUUUGAUCCUGGCUCAGAAUGAACGCUGGCGGCAGGCCUAACACAUGCAAGUCGAACGGAGUUAUAUUGUAGCUUGCUAUGGUAUAACUUAGUGGCAGACGGGUGAGUAAUGUAUAGGAAUCUACCUAGUAGUACGGAAUAAUUGUUGGAAGCGGCAACUAAUACCGUAUACGCCCUACGGGGGAAAAAUUUAUUGCUAUUAGAUGAGCCUAUAUUAGAUUAGUUAGUUGGUGAGGUAAAGGCUUACCAAGACAAUGAUCUAUAGCUGAUCUGAGAGGAUGAUCAGCCACACUGGAACUGAGAUACGGUCCAGCCUCCUACGGGAGGCAGCAGUGGGGAAUAUUGGACAAUGGGCGAAAGCCUGAUCCAGCCAUGCCGCAUGGGUGAAGAAGGCCUUCGGGUUGUAAGGCUCUUUUAGUGAGGAAAAUAAUGACGGUACUCACAGAAGAAGUCCUGGCUAACUCCGUGCCAGCAGCCGCGGUAAUACGGAGAGGGCUAGCGUUAUUCGGAAUCAUUGGGCGUAAAGGGCGCGUAGGCGGGUUAGUAAGUUAAAAGUGAAAUCCCAAGGCUCAACCUUGGAACUGCUUUUAAAACUGCUAGUCUAGAGAUUGAAAGAGGAUAGAGGAAUUCCUAGUGUAGAGGUGAAAUUCGUAAAUAUUAGGAGGAACACCAGUGGCGAAGGCGUCUAUCUGGUUCAAAUCUGACGCUGAGGCGCGAAGGCGUGGGGAGCAAACA
rnacentral:rRNA from 2 species